UAACCGUAAAUUUUGUAUGAAGUUAAAAUACAGUUUCUCGUUGUCAGCCACGGUCCAGCUCCGGCCCACGCUCGGACAGGACCACUCCCUCCGCCGCCAAACGAGAGGCCGCCUUCUCUGGGGAAGAACCAGUCGUCAGCACGCACAGGGCCUCUUCCUCCUCCUCCUCCUCCUUCAGGGCGCAGCAGUGUGAGGUCAUCGCCAGCUCCUUCUCCUAUUGGUCGGCCUGGCCCGGAGCCUCCUCGUGGGGGACCCGGCGGCAGACCUCCGCUCCCUCCAGACAGGCCGGGGACAGGAGGGGCCCCUCCUCCUCCACCGCCGCCCAUGGGUAACGGCUUCCAGAACUCCCACCACAACCAGAUACAAGAUGAGUGGGAGUGUCGCUUCACUUUCCAUCCAGUGUCAGAGCUUCCUCCACCUGAGCCCUACAUGCCCUUCCCCAAGACCUACCCCAGCAAGCUGGCCAAGACCGACGGCAGAGGUCCUGGUAAGAAGGAGAGAGGAGCUCCUCCUCUUCCUCCUAUACCCAGGUGAAGAAGAGGCUGCAGCAGCAUCGCCUGGAACUACUUUCUCUGUUUCCGCUCUCUCUCUCUCUCUCUCUCUGUGUCACGCUUUGCUUUUUCCUGCAGCGUGUGGUUUCAUCUGUGGACGGCGACGUGUGAAACGGACCCGAAUUCUGGUCACCAAGUAAAGGCUGCGACUCUCGGUGUGGAGUUUCGGCAGCAUCCAGAGACCAAAGCCUGUUUUUUAACUCCGACACAUUCGUGCUCACAUCAGAAGGCAGAAACUCGCACCUCUUUAGGCACAAAUGUGUUUUACAACCGAUGCUGCGGAUGGAAAAUAUUAUUUGGGCGGACUUUGUUGACCUGGUUGCUGUGAGACAGUAUUUUAAUGAAACUUGAUCCACUUUAUUCCAUUAACUAACCUUUUCAUCCUCUGCUUUCAGCGCUGACGCCUGCCAGAUAUGAUAUUUUACCAAACAGCGACUCUUUUAUAAAACAGCACAAAGUCUGAUGACUUUAAAUAAAAUAGCUCAUGGAGUCCCAGGGUCACAGCUCAGGCUUAUAUUUCUGCUCCGGCGUUUCCCUCGAGCCUUUUUCUAUUCAGAUUGCAUCUUCAGGCUGCUUAAAUAUUUAAGGAGAUUCACGUUUUGUGCCUUAAACAGCGUGUGUGUUCAGCUGGUUUGGAUCAACUCUGCAGGUGUUAAAACAGCAGCUCAGGUUGCAGCCAUAUGAGAUUUUUUACGGUACGAUAACCAGAAAAUAUCCCGGUUUCACGGUACGGCAGUAAACGGUGUUACUAGAUUAUUAUUGUCAGUUGCAAUGACCCUUAACCCUUUGAAAUCUGGAUUGACAUCAGUUUUUUGUGCUGCGUUCAGACAAGUGGUCUGAUUUCUUUUCUAAAAAUCCUUUUGAAAAAUCUCUUUUUUAAAAACUGAUUUUUGGGUAUUUUUCUAGUCGCAUUUUACUCAUUUCAUGGGACAUUUCUUGCAAAGUUGGUCAAGAAAGCCUUUUUCCCAUGUUUUCAAAAGAAAUCAAACCUUUUUUCUCAGCAUCCAAAGGUUUAAACAUUUGCAGAAUCUGAACAGAAAACUGACUUUUCUUGUGCUGUGUGAGGAGACUGGUUUGAUUUCUUUCUGAAAAAUGCGGGUUAAAGCCAAUGAGCAGCUCGACAAGAAAUGUCCCAAAAAUUACAAGAAAUAAAUAAAAGGUAACAAGAAAAAAUACCAUAAAAUUUGUUUUAAA